GACUUCGUUUUAAUUUUAAGAGAAGAGAAGAGAAGAGAGAGAAUCACAAUGUAACCCUAGUCCAAUUCACCGUCACACUCAGCUCCUCUCCACCGUCACACUCAGCUCCUCCCCACCGUCACGAACAGGAUUCAACGAAUCAACAUGCCACCGUCACGAAUGAAGGAACUCGCCCAAUCACGAAAGAAAUCGCCCAAUCUCUCACCGCUUGCGAAGAAAUCACACGAAUUUAAUUUUGGUGAAGUCAUUAUCCCUUUUCCCCUUUUCUUUUUCUAUCAAUUCUUGGUAAUUUGAAAAAUCAAUUAUCAAUUCUUCGAACAUGUAUGUUUACCCUAUUUUUUUUGCUGUGUAUUUGUUCAAAUGUUAGGUUUUUGGCAACAGCUUUGGGUGUUUGUAGUUCCAAAAGUACAUCUUGUUUCUUGGGUACGUACGAGUACAAAUUUGUUUGCUUUGUUUGUAGUUUCAAAAAACCAAAAAUUAAGAGAAAAUAAGAUGGCCAUGUUAUAAUAACCUAGCAAAAUUAAAUCUUGUUGAUGAUAUCUUGAAAUCUAAAGAUGAUUGAAGUUGAAGCUUAAGAAUAGAUUGGGAGUUUUUUCUGUUUUUUGAAUAACCUGUUUACAUAAAUGAUGGUUAACUCUUUGUAAAUCUCUUAUUUCUUGAAAAAUUUAUAAUAAACAAUUGGUUUAUUUUUAUUUUUGAUAAAAAAAAAGUCAAAAUACAUCAAGAUGAAAGGAAAACAAAAUUACAAGGAAUACUUCUCUCGAUUAAAGUACAAAACAGAAAAUAACAGAAAAAUUAAUGGUAAUCAGAAGAUAAAACACCCGAUUAUAUCCCAAAUCUAGUGUUACACAACAACUUAUAAGUACUUGCAUAGUUCAAGGUUUGGCGGCUAUGUUGGAAUUUUUAUUAUGUUACCUUCAAUUUACUGUAGCAUUGUGAUUUUAACAUAGGAAAUUUAGUUAAUAUUGUUCAUUGUAGUUCAACAUAUGUGUAUCUAAUAAUUGUUUUACAUUUUCUCUUAACCAAUACUUUCUAUUUACUGUUCUCAGUUUGACACUAAAGACUACGUACUUAAUCUUCCUUUACCAGAGUGUUGGGUGGUAAGGCAAUUUUGUUUCAACACCUUCUUGAAACUUUUACUUAUCAAUAUUUUAUCAAUAUUUUAUGUUCCCGUAGACAAGGUCAAGGAUGAUUGAGUUGGUAUCAAAACGUUUGGCUACAUUAGAG
rnacentral:lncRNA from 1 species